GACGAACGCUGGCGGCGUGCUUAACACAUGCAAGUCGAGCGGAAAGGCCCUUCGGGGUACUCGAGCGGCGAACGGGUGAGUAACACGUGAGUAACCUGCCCCAGACUUUGGGAUAACCCUCGGAAACGGGGGCUAAUACCGGAUACGACACAGCUUCGCAUGGGGUCUGUGUGGAAAGUUUUUCGGUUUGGGAUGGGCUCGCGGCCUAUCAGCUUGUUGGUGGGGUGAUGGCCUACCAAGGCGACGACGGGUAGCCGGCCUGAGAGGGCGACCGGCCACACUGGGACUGAGACACGGCCCAGACUCCUACGGGAGGCAGCAGUGGGGAAUAUUGCAGAAUGGGCGGAAGCCUGAUGCAGCGACGCCGCGUGAGGGAUGACGGCCUUCGGGUUGUAAACCUCUUUCAGCAGGGACGAAGCGUAAGUGACGGUACCUGCAGAAGAAGUGCCGGCCAACUACGUG
rnacentral:rRNA from 1 species